rnacentral:rRNA from 1 species
AACGUAGGACGCAAGCGUUAUCCGGAGUUACUGGGCGUAAAGCGCGGGCAGGCGGCUCGUGAAGUCUGAUGUGAAAGCGCCCGGCUCAACCGGGCGAGGCCAUUGGAAACUCUCGAGCUGGAGUGCAGGAGAGGAAUGCGGAAUUCCAGGUGUAGCGGUGAAAUGCGUAGAUAUCUGGAGGAACACCGGUGGCGAAGGCGGCGUUCUGGACUGCAACUGACACUGAGAAACGAAAGCCAGGGGAGCAAACGGG